AUCCAGCUGACGAGUCCCAAAUAAAGACGAAACACGCAUCCUGAAU
rnacentral:hammerhead_ribozyme from 1 species